CGUGUAGGCGGUCGGUCAAGUCCGAUGUGAAAGCCCGGGGCUCAGCCCCGGAAGUGCAUCGGAAACUAGCCGGCUGGAGCGCGAUAGAGGAGGGUGGAAUUCCUGGUGUAGCGGUGAAAUGCGUAGAUAUCAGGAGGAACACCGGCGGCGAAGGCGGCCCUCUGGAUCGUUGCUGACGCUGAGACGCGAAAGCGUGGGGGGCAAACAGGAUUAGAUACCCUGGUAGUCCACGCUGUAAACGAUGGGUACUAGGUGUUCGGGGUAUUGACCCCCUGAGUGCCGCAGCUAACGCAUUAAGUACCCCGCCUGGGGACUACGGCCGCAAGGUUAAAA
rnacentral:rRNA from 1 species